CGUCUUUGACAUUUCUCUAAGUGUGCACACGGCCCGGCAACCCCAUGCCAUUGUAUGGGAAUUAAUGGGACAUUUACCUAUGCUAAUUAAAUGCAAUGGGCACAAGCUUUACAUUUACGAAGACAUUGGGAUUCGUCAUUUUAAGAACACACCUGUGAACAAUUCUGCGGUUUAAGAACACGUCAUGAAUCAGAUGUAGACUUUUCUUAGGAACUUUCUUAAAAACAAAUUUAAGAAAAAACUUAGGAAGAUAUUGGUGAAUGAGACCCAAUGAGUUUUAAGACCAUU